AUAUUGAAAACAUUCGUCGGAACGGUUGAGGGAAAAAUUUCAACAUGGGAAAGAGGAAGCGGCGGGUUUGGAUACGAUCCUCUAUUUAUUCCCAACGGAUACAAAGAGACAUUCGGAGAAAAUCCCGAACCAAAGAAGGAAAUUUCCCAUAGGAGAAAGUCAGUUGAGACAUUUUGUAAAUUUUAUGUGGAAUAUAAUGAGAUAAAACAAGAUGAUGAGAAAGUAUAGAGAAAUGAAGUCGGAGAAAUUUUAAAAAUUUAAUUUAUAUCUAUUUUUUAAACAAAGACCUAAUUAUUUUAUAACUUUAUUAUAAAAAUUUGCAUAAAUUUAACAAAAUGGGUAAUGGAUUAUUUGCAGGAAAGAAAUGUUUGAGUAAAAGGAAAGAAUACAGGUGGAGUGAUCCGAGGUAUAUACGAAGAACAUUACAUUCAAAAGAGAAGACAGAUCCUUUGAGCGGUGCUCCGCAGGGAAAAGGUAUUGUACUUGAAAAAGUUGAAAUAGAAGCAAGACAGCCGAAUUCGGCAAUGCGAAAGUCCGUAAAGAUUCAACUUGUCAAAAACGGAAAAAAAGUUACCGCAUUUGCUCCGAAAAACAGGGCAAUUACAUUUAUAGAUGAACACGACGAAGUUGAGAUUGAAGGAAUUAACGGUAGAAAAGGAGGAAGUUACGGUGACCUUCCAGGAGUAAGAUUUAGAGUACUUAAAGUUAAUAAUCUCUCAUUAAACGAGCUCGUUCAUCACAGAAAAGAAAAACCGCAAAGAAAGUAAAUCCAUAGGAGUUGCUACAAAACAGAUUGUACUUGUUGUUUUUUUUAUUUUAAAUCCAAUUAAAUUUGUGCGGAAAAAUUUAAAAAUAUAAAGUCACUUUGUUUAUCUUCAUUUCGUCGGAGAUUUUUAAAAACUUCAUUUUGAAAAUAGUCAUAUAUCAAAAUUAGACAUGUUGCAAAAUAACCUUUUCACCUUUGAACUCCUUUAAAUUUUAUAAGUUUUCACAUUUAAAAUUUUUAAUUUGCAACAACUAUAUUAAUUCGCAACAGACAUACCGAAAUUUUUAAAUUUUUGGUUUAUUUUUAUUUAAUAUUUAUAUUCUUUUAACUAAUUUAUAAACCCUAAAAUUAAUGGGUUCAACAAAUAAAUUUAACAACUUGGAGAACUAUCGAUUUGACAGGUUGUAAUGAAACUAAAAAAUUCACCUUCAAUUUUUGAAAAAUUUGUGUUUUUCACAUUCAACUUUUACAUUUCCUUACAGCCUGUUGAGUAAAAUUUUGAUGUUGAGCGGUGUACUAUGAAAAAGUUGAAAAGGAUCUUUGACUCUCAACUUUUAUUUAAUAUUUAUAUUCCUUUAACUAAUUUAUAAACCCUAAAAUUAAUGGGUUCAACAAAUAAAUUUAACAACUUGGAGAACUAUCGCUUUGAGUAAAAUUUUGAUGUUGAGCGGUGUACUAUGAAAAAGUUGAAAAGGAGCUUUGACUCUCAACUUUUAUUUAAUAUUUAUAUUCCUUUAACUAAUUUAUAAACCCUAAAAUUAAUGGGUUCAACAAAUAAAUUUAACAACUUGGAGAACUAUCGCUUUGAGUAAAAUUUUGAUGUUGAGCGGUGUACUAUGAAAAAGUUGUUGCAUAGUUAUUAAGUUUUAGACAUAUAAAAAGCAAAAAAGAAAUUCAGUUAAGCCAAAAAAAAAUAAUUAUCACGAUAGAUAUAUAAUGUUGUAGGUAAAACUAUAGAAAUUUAAUGUGAUGAUUUAUUAUUGAAGGCAAAACAAGCAUAGAAGUGUAAUGCUUUGCGACUAUAAAUCCAGUCGAUCCUGCUGGAGAGUAUUGCUAUUGGAGUUCGACUAAGCCAUGCAAGUCAGAUGCUACGCAAGUAGUAUCGGCGACCAGCUCAGUAAAACAUAGAUAACCUGCCCACAAAUACAGAAUAACAUUGGGAAACUGAUGAUAAUGCUGUAUAAAUGUGGAGUUCUGGAAUGACCUACAUUGAAAGCGUAAGCGUUUGUGGAUGGAUCUAUGGCGGAUUAGGCAGAUGGCGGUGUAACAGACCACCAUACCUAUGAUCCGUACCCGCCAUGGGAGUGGAAGCGGGGAGAUGGAUACUGAGACAAGGAUCCAGGCCCCACGGGGCGCAGCAGGCGCGAAACCUUCCCAAUGCGCGAAAGCGUGAGGGGGAAACUCCGAGUUCCUCCAUUUGGAGGAUUUUGUAGUGUGUAAGAAGCACUGCGAAUAAGGGCCGGGCAAUGCCAGUGCCAGCCGCCGCGGUAAUACUGGAGGCCCGAGUGAUACUCACUAUUAUUGGGCUUAAAGCGUUCGUAGCCGGUUUUUUAAGUCUUUUGUGAAAUCCUGCUGCUUAACAGUAGGUCGGGCAAGAGAUACUGAAAGACUAGAGGAUGGGAGAGGUUGGAGGUAUUUCAGGGGUAGGGGCGAAAUCCUAUAAUCCUAGAAGGACCAUCUGGGCGAAGGCGUCCAACUAGAACAUGCCUGACGGUGAGGAACGAAAGCUAGGGGAGCAAACCAGAUUAGAUACCUGGGUAGUCCUAGCCGUAAACUAUGUGGACUGUGUACUGCGGGUGCUUAGGGCUCCCGCAGUGCUGAAGGAAAACCGUUAAGUCCACCGUCUGGGGAGUACGGUCGCAAGGCUGAAACUUAAAGGAAUUGGCGGAGGAGCACCACAAGGGGUGGAGUCUGCGGUUUAAUUGGAUACAACGCCAGACAACUCACCAGGGGCGACGGCAGAAUGACAGUCAGAUUUAAGAUCUUGCUUGACAAGCCGAGAGGUAGUGCAUGGCCACCGUCAGCUCGUACCGUAAGGCGUACCCUUAAGUGGGUUAACGAGCGAGACCCAUACUUUCAUUUGCUACCGUUCAUCUUUGAACGAGCACUAUGGAGGGACCGCUGACGACGAGUCAGAGGAAGGAAUGGGCGAUGAUAGGUCAGUAUGCUCCGAAUCCCUUGGGCUACACGUGGACUACAAUGACAUGAACAAUGGGAUGCAACUCCGAGAGGAGGAGCCAAUCCCCCAAAUCAUGCCUCAGUUCGGAUUGAGGGUUGUAACUCACCCUCAUGAAGAUGAAAUCCCUAGUAACCGUAAGUUAACAUCUUGCGGUGAAUAUGUCCCCGCUCCUUGCACACACCGCCCGUCAAGCCAAGCGAGUGGGCGUGAUGUGAGGCGCUAUCAUUUGGUAGUGUCGAACAUCAUGUUCGCAAGAAGGGCUAAGUCGUAACAAGGUAGCCGUAGGGGAAUCUGCGGCUGAAUCACCU
rnacentral:rRNA from 1 species